GGUGGUCUAGUGGUAGAAUACGACCCUGCCACGGUCGAGACCCGGGUUCGAUUCCCGGCC
rnacentral:ncRNA from 11 species